CUGAGAUUUUGCUCUUGGAUUUCUAUUGGGACGUUCAUACAGAGUGUAUAGCAAUCCACUACAGUUACUUUUCAUAUAUUUCAGAGCCUUCAUGAGACUUAGGGGGAUCAAUGUGUCCAGAUGGGGAUGCGACACAGUCCCACACCCUUGUCAGACUGACAGUACCUCCUGCGGGCCCUUUGUAUUGAAAUUUGCUGAAUGUAUCCUUAAAGAUGAAACGUGCAAAUUUAAUACAUCAAGAAAAGGUGUAGAGGAAAUGCGAAGGGCAAUCGCAACUGCUCUCCUUGAGAAUACUGAUGACCUGACUGAGGUGUGCCACCAAUGUGGACAGACAGACAAUACAGAAGCACACGAGGACGUACAAUGGAUUUCCUGUGAACGGUGCCAACGCUGGUAUCAUCAGAGCUGUGCAAAA